rnacentral:rRNA from 1 species
UACGUAGGGGGCGAGCGUUGUCCGGAUUUACUGGGCGUAAAGCGCACGCAGGCGGUUCGCCAAGUUUGGCGUGACAGUUGUCGGCUCAACCGACAAAGGACUUCAAAAACUGGUGAACUUGAGGACGAGAGAGGAGCAUGGAACUCCAGGUGUAGUAGUGAAAUGCGUAGAUAUCUGGAAGAACACCAAUGGCGAAGGCAAUGUUCUGGCUCGUUUCUGACGCUCAGGUGCGAAAGCCAGGGGAGCGAACGGG